UUUAUUUAUCCUAUAAAUCCUGAAAUUGGAAUGAUACAGUAAAUUAUUAGCAUAGCCCUUGUGAAAACAUGACAAGUAAAUUUGUGAAAGCUGUCAUAUUUCA